AUAAGAGGCAUUAGAAGACAAACAUGUAUGUUACCAAUUGAAGGACAUCUAUUGCAGGAUAAAUCAAUGUUAAAGUUUACACAGCUGGCCAUUUAUGGAUGUUAAAUUUGACUUUGAGUUGGUUAUGUAGGCUUCUUCCAACCCAUCGCUUUCUACUGCAUAUAAUACGAUUUAAUUAUAUCUUUACCUUAAAAAACAAAGUCUAUCAGAAUUCCAGUCAUUUCAUUCAAAGUUAUACCCCUUGAUCUUCAAGAAUAGGACUUGGAAAUAUGGAAGUAUUGAUUUGCCAUAUUGUUUUACCUGAGCAUGACCCCAAAACUAAGGACUUAUUAGCCACCCCUCCUUGUAAUUGAUGCUUUUGUUGUCAUAGAGGACUGAUUGGGCUCAUUGAUUCCAGUUGAAAAAUAAAUGCUGCCCUCAUGGAAUGCAAUUCUUUGAGCACUACUGAAAAGUGCUAUUUACAUGUGGGGAAAAAAAGAAUGCCAUAUGCUGCAUUUGCUAUAGGCCUUUGUUGGUGGCACUUUGAUAAUAUGCAGCUUUUUAAAGGGCAAAUCCACAGAUGAAACAAUGACAAAACGGACGCCCCGCCUCUGUUUUGUUAAAAAGCUGAGGGAUGGGCCUUGAGAAAUUUAACCACUCUCAGACAACUAGACAGAGCUAUGGAUGCAAGGACUGACCAUCCAUGAUAUACAUAUACAAUUAUUGUUUUAACCAUGUUAUGAGGCAAUACAGUGUUUGUUUACAUUUACAAUGUUUACAAACAUUGGAAAUAAACAGAGUAUAUUUUGGAUUCUCAUGGAGUGUGACAGUUGAAAGAAGCUCAUGAGGGAUUUAUAAGUUAUAUUCUUCAAGACUCAAUGGAUAUAGAUAUAUAUCUAUCUAAUUUAUAUAUAUCUAAGUGCAAAAAAUGGAUGUAGAAACUACAGAUUGCCCCUUUAAGUCUAUCAAAAGUGUGCAAGUUUGAGCAUGUGUCCAUAGGCCUAUGGAUUUAUUUAUUUGAUCAGAAUUAAUUAGAUUGAGCAAUAAAAGCCCCACUUUUAUUCCAUAGGCUUGGAUCUGCAUUAUGCAGCUGUUGCAAGAGCUAAUGUUUUACUGGCUGUCCACUGGUUUCAAAAACAAUGUUUGAUAGGCAGCUUAAACUUCUUGAAUUCAACCAUUAUUGGGUUCAAAUACACAUUUAGAUUUGUGAACAGCCAUCCACAACAACCACAAUCCGUAGGUGCAAAUAGUUCAAAUGAGAGAGCAUGGCUACAUUGGGACAGAAAUCUAAUCAUAGAGAUAUCAAAGAUUCAUGCAUCUUUAAGCUACAUUUUAAUUAUAUUUGCUUUUCAGACAUCUGUGUGUAUUAUCCUCUAUCUCUGUUCUCUAGCCAUAGCAGACCAGCCCUGGUGUCACAAUGGUUGUGUGUGGAGGGGUUCAGAUGGUCGCCGAUCAACAUUGAUACUAACCAGCUGACCUUUGACCCCAGUCUCCGCAACCGCACCUUCAGUGACAUCCCUAAUCCACACAGCAUCAAGUUCCUCACCAACAAUGGACACACAGUGAGCUCUGUGUUAGAGGAGGGCCUGAUGGAGGUGAGAGGAGGGGGGCUCUCUCAUGGCUACACGGCCGUCAUGAUACAUUUCCACUGGGGAGGUGACUCACUGUGCCACCAAGGGUCUGAACACACAGUGGAUUCAGUCAGAUACCCCAUGGAGGUGACAGGCAAGCAAUAGCAUGUGGAAUCCUGGAGGACUUCUGCUGAAUAUAACAGAGAAGGGUUCAUCAGUUGACAUAGUGCAGCCACCAUCCAUCAGUGAUCUGCUAGGAAGUGUGGAUCUCACCAAGUUCUACUGCUACCAGGGUUCUCUGACCACCCCCACCUGCGAUGAAAUGGACCAUGUUCUUAGAGCCAAUCAAGAUGCGGAGAGAUCUAGUGAGUGGUAACCUAACAUAGCAGGCAUAAAAGACAAGCCUGAGCGGAGCUGGAAGAAACGGGAAGCAUCCGGUUUGAGUCUUCACCUCUGCUUCCUGAAAAACCGUAUGCUUACGGUUUCCUACAACCCCGCUGAAGGUGGAGCUGUUUUCCUAAAACCCUGAAGUACAGAAACAUCUCGAGGCCAGUGCAACGCUUCCCCGGGUUGUCAGUGUCCCCACUGGGCCGCAUUUGCAGCGGCCAGACUUCCAGCAGGAGGGCUCUUGUCCGGCCUACAACUACUACUAC